rnacentral:misc_RNA from 1 species
ACCGUCAAUUCAUUUGAGUUUUAACCUUGCGGCCGUACUCCCCAGGCGGGCAACUUCACGCGUUAGCUACGGUACUGAGGAAUCGCUCCCCCAACACCCAGUUGCCAUCGUUUAGGGCGUGGACUACCAGGGUAUCUAAUCCUGUUUGCUCCCCACGCUUUCGUGCCUGAGCGUCAGUGUCAGCCCAGGGGGCUGCCUUCGCCAUCGGUGUUCCUCCAGAUCUCUACGCAUUUCACUGCUACACCUGGAAUUCCACCCCCCUCUGCCACACUCCAGCUCGCCAGUUUUCACGGCCAUUCCCAGGUUGAGCCCGGGGCUUUCACCGCAAACACAACGAACCGCCUGCGCACGCUUUACGCCCAGUAAUUCCGAUUAACGCUCGCACCCUACGUAUUACCGC